UCCCCUCCUGCUCUUCUUCCUUUGCCUUCUCCUGCCCCUUCUCUUCUACUGACACUAGGUGGUCGGGCCCUGGGUUCCACCCGCAUUCAGUCUCCAUUCUAACGCUCUCUGCUGCAGUGGCAGGCAGAGUCCCAAGCCAGUGGGCUCCUGGUCUGCAGACCACAUGAUGUGGGGCCACCAGCAGCACAAAGGGCUUUGUGUUAAGCAAUGAGCAGAAGGGAGAUGGGCGAUGGGCCGACUAGGAAGGUGAUGGGCAGAAGGUUCUGCAAGCAUGGGUGACAUCUGAAAGCUGAAGCUCUGGAUAUGGUAACAAGAAGGGCAGAGGAGCCAGUCCAAUUACUGAAAAAGUAACUAGGUAAGCAAAUGUGAAGAAAAAACCCUAACUGGAAAGCAAGCACGCAUCAUCUGUGUGUCAGCGGGGCACAGAGCAGAGUCUGGGGCGGAGACGGAGGAGAGACCGAGGGCCGCGGGUCACAGCUGAGCACCGAGUCCCGAGAGCCCGGCCACUGAAAUCCCCCGGGUCCUCAGCAGCAGCGGGAGCGGAACCUGCAAAGGCUCGCACUGAACGAGGGAAGUGAGCGACGGCGGAUGCAGAUCCGGGGCACCGUGUGGGCCUCCCUCCCCGGGAUGCAGAGGAACCGGCACACAUCCUGAGAGGGCCCUUUAAGAAUACGCCAAGAGUCACACAGGCUCAGACAGUGAAAUGCUAACAAUGCUGAUCCCCGAGCCUUUCCACAGAGGAGGCCAACAGCCGCCAUGGGACGACGUCAUUUAGUACCCACUCGGUCUCUGAAGAACCAACACCAUUUAAAGAGAAAAGGCCGCUCAGAUUGUCGAGAAAAUGAAGCGACAGUUGAGGAGCAAGAAAGGGACCACGUCAGGGCCUGGCAUGCUGCCCACUGCCACUGCUGCCCAGGCUCAGCUCAAAGGUCCGGGAAGUGGGGCUGAAGUUCCGGGGACCUCUGGGGUCUUCCCAAAGGAAGCUGCCCCACCAGAGGCCAGGCUAGCUAGAUUACAACCUGCCAUGUAGGUCUAGGCUCGGACGGUGCAGAGCUGAGACCCCGACCCACGUUUGACCUGUCAGAAACACCGCCCACACCCCACAGCGAAUCCAAAAUGUCUCUAAGGAAAAGCCCCACCUAUGAGGCAUGGGUAGAACCAAAAUACACAAUAGAAAAUGAAUCAUAUGUACCCUUCUUUUUAAUACUUUUUAUCAGACAUACUGCAGUGGUAGAAGGUAUUAAAUAAUGAGACCUGUCAAAUUUUUUUUUUUGGAUGCAGAGGCUUGAACCCAGGACCUCAUGCAUGCUAAGCAAGUGCUUCACUGCUGAGCUGCAUUCUCAACCCUUUUAUUUAGUUUUUUAUUCUGAGACUGAGCAGUUAAAUAAUUGAGAGUAAAGAAAAUACUGACUGCCCUAUAUAUUUGGUUUUUCCUUGGAGUAUUCUGGAUUAAAAAGAAAAACACAAGAUUCUUUGCUUUAUCUGAUGUGGAUUUGUUAGUCAUUCUUUCAACCCCGGUGUUUUAUUAAACUGUACUUGAGGAAGAGGGCGCCGCCUGACAGCGCCUCUCCGCAGUGGCUCAGUCGGCCGCAGCACCGUGGCCUUCCACAGGCGGCGCUCGGGCUUCGGGAGAGGCCCUCAGCGGCAGCGAGAAGGUGGGCUCACGCAGGAGCCCCUCGCUCCCAGCACUGACAGGCGUGGCCUGAGGCCUGUCACCCCUCCACAGACACAACGCCCGGCACGCCCCGGAGGCACCUGGGGCCUGGGUGGCCGAGGGCCGCACGGAAGACCGCAAAUGUGAGGCGUCGCUGCAGCCGCACACCCGGGGAGAAUGCACUCCGGUGUCGGCUCUCUCGGCAGUGAGAUGGGGCGCUGGCGACACCCGGGCCCUGCUGGCCUUCGCUUCUCAGAGUCCGCGGGCUGCUCUCGGUGGGGCGGCAGGAGCGCGGCCACAGCCCAUCCGCCCAGACCCUUCCCAGCCCAGCAGCGUCCACGUCCUGAGUCCUCCAUCUGCACGCAGCCAGGCUGGAGCCCCGCCUCCCUCGCCGGCCCCCGUGGCGGCGCCCGCCCUGCUCCCCAGGCUGCCCGCGUCUGACCCCCAGGCUGCCCGCAUCUGCCAGGGUCCGGACUCCCGGAGCUGAAGACAGGUGCUGCGUCCGCGUCCGCUGGCUUUCCCGCACCUUUGACAUCGACUUGCUAAGUAAAGAAAAUGAAUUCAAAGAGCCACAAGCCUCAUGUGUAAAUGCAUUACUCUCUCCUGUUUAAGAAAAUGAAAAAAGAAAAAGAAAAAAGAGGAAGGCCAUCUGCCACCUCUCUCCAGAAACAAGGGACACUGCCCAUGCAGUCUCACAUGCACCCUGAUACCCACUACGGGGACAGCUGGCAACACUGUCAGCACUUUCCAGGGAGGUCCUGGGGAGUCUCCAUGUCCUGCUUUGAAGUCCUCCAGCCCUGGUGGGAGGAUGAGACCUCUGACUCGAUGUGCAAGCGUGUCUAGGUGUAAACACACACAGACACGCACACGAUCCCAGCCAGCCGUGAUGAUUUCGGCUCUAUUCUGUAUCACUGUUUAAAAAACUGGUCAUCAAAGCCCAGCUACGGGCCAAGACACGUACUUUAAGAACCCUCCACAGGCAGCUCUGCACCCAAGACGGUGCUGCACCAAGGAGACGGAGUCGCGCAUGUCCCUGCUGCACUGUCCCACAGCCACCUCUGCAGCCAUUGGCUUCAAGGUCACUGCUCCUCAGAGACAUCUGAUGUUAUCCAUGUUUCUUAAGUAAUGAUUUGCUCUUUGAUAGGACUUGCUGUUCUUUUGUAGUCUUACUGGUUGAUUACCCUGAAUGGAUUACUUAGGCAUUCAGGAGCAUAUAUCACAGCCAGAUUUUUAGCAAAGCUCCUCAUCUUGCUACUGAUUCCUGCAUGAUAUUUCUGGAGUCAAUCUGUUGUUACUCUUAAAAUUAAAUGGAAGAGGCUGCUAUAUCCAACUGUUACUUCAUUUUAUAGACUAUUCUGUGAAAUGCCUGAAGUCCUAGAACAUAAUUUUAAAAAAAGAAAACGUUAAAUGUGGUGCUAACUUUGGUUCUGACAACGCUCCACAGCAGACUGAGCUGCCCGCUGCUCCCCCCAGCACCUCAGGCAGAGGCUGAGUGGCUGUUUCUGGCCUUGAGCAUGCGUCACCACUCUUCCUGGGCCGGCCCACCAGGCACCAUUUGUAUUCAACUUUCUAACCUCUGACAGCAAUCUCAUUGUUACUAAAAUAAUGGUUGUCAUUUUGCUCUCUGUGUUCAGUACACAUUAUAUUGCUUCAUCAUGUACAAAGCACUUUCACAGAUAUUAACAGCUCACAUUUGUUGGCCAUUUAGUAAUGGUUAUCUCACAGAACCUUCAAACCUGUAACACCAGCACUGUUCAUUUUACAGACUAGAAAACUAAAGAACCUGCCCCCGGGCCACAAGGCCACACGGGUGAACUACGUCAAAUCUUCAGAAGUUAACUCCUAACCAGUGGAUUCUAUUUCACCCAUCCCUCUACAUGCGUUUGAGGGUUACAAAGGCCAGUCAACUUCUUCAGGGUUAUCAGUGACUGAGUGGUGGUAACAGGACUCGAACCCAAACCCCAGGCCUGCCCAGUGCCCCCGGCUCUCUGGCCUACUCUGCCGCACAGGUCUGUAUCCCCAACAGCACCCACCUGGUGCCUUCACACACAGAGAGAGGACUCAGACAAAGCCUCCAGGGGCCUCAGGCAGAGGCUACACAGCCCCUCCCUUGUCCGCUGCCCUCCUUCCCAUAUACAGUCAGGAGGAAAACGGAGUGAAGAAUGUGCGUUUAGAUAUGGCAGGGAAAUGUGAAACAAUGUUACUUCGGACUAAUUUAAGGCAGCUGUAUAACCUACAGGUUAGGAAUCAGGGAAAGAGGCCAAAUAACAGAAAGGAGACAGUGUACGGACUAAACAAGAACACGUGUUCAAAUAUUGAAAGAAUUGAAUCUUUACAUGUAAAUAGUAGAAAAUGAAAAUAAA